UACGUAGGGUGCGAGCGUUAAUCGGAAUUACUGGGCGUAAAGCGUGCGCAGGCGGUUUUGUAAGCCAGAUGUGAAAUCCCCGGGCUUAACCUGGGAAUGGCAUUUGGGACUGCAAGGCUGGAGUGUGGCAGAGGAGACUGGAAUUCCUGGUGUAGCAGUGAAAUGCGUAGAUAUCAGGAGGAAUACCGAUGGCGAAGGCAGGUCUCUGGGCUGACACUGACGCUCAUGCACGAAAGCGUGGGAGCAACAGGAUUACGAAACCCGAGU
rnacentral:rRNA from 1 species